rnacentral:snoRNA from 1 species
CCCCUCUCUGGGUCACACCUGGAGAGUUUCCAGUACUCUACCAGUCUCGUGGGAGGGAGAGUCAAGCAGAGGCGUAUCCAUUCCAUUCCUAGCUUGGGCAGUGGCUAGCGAGUUGAAGGCAAUCUGCUACAAGU